rnacentral:misc_RNA from 1 species
AAAAUAAUCCUACCCUUUGUGAAUUUUGUUUGUUUGAAUAAUUUUUUUUUUUUAAAAAAUUAUUGGAGUCUUUCCUUUAGAGUUUGCUUUUGAGUUUGUAAAAGAAUUCGAAAACAUCUAAAGGGGAUGGUCAAUAAUUUUUUUUGAAAAAAGACAUUUUUUAAAAUUAAACUUUUUGUAUUCAUUUGUCUAAAAAUUAUUUUUAUAAUAUAAAAACAACUUUUGACAAUGGAUCUCUUGGUUCUCGCAACGAUGAAGAACGCAGCAAAAUGCGAUAAGUAGAGUGAAUUGCAGAAUACGUGAAUCAUCGAAUCUUUGAACGCAUAUUGCACUUUUUAGUUUACUAAAAAAGUAUGUCUGUUUGAGUAUCAGUAAAAUAUUCUCAUAAAAAUCAUUGUGUAUUUUAUGGUUAUGAGUGUUUUACAACGAUACAAGUUGUUUCACUUUAAAUUUUUUUUUAAUAUUGAAAUUUUUCUAAUUUUAAUAAUUAAAAUUGGAUAAAAUUUUCCCGUCAAAAGGAAUAACCUAAACAAUUUUAAAUGAUUAAUUUUAGCAAAAUUUUCGAAAAAAAGGAAAAUUUUUAUUAAAAUAACUUGAUCUCAAAUCAGAUAAGAGUACCCGCUGAACUUAGGCAUAUCAAUAAGCGGAGGAAAAGAAACUAACAAGGAUUCCCUUAGUAACGGCGAGUGAAGCGGGAAGAGCUCAAAUUUGAAAUCUUCAAGGUUUUACCUUGACGAAUUGUAGUUUAAAGAAGUGUUUUCUGCUGAAGUUUUGGUAAAAGUUCUUUGGAAUAGGACAUCAUAGAGGGUGAGAAUCCCGUAUUUGACCAUUAUUUUCAGCUUUGUGAUACACUUUCAAAGAGUCGGAUUGUUUGGGAAUGCAGUCCAAAAUGGGUGGUAAAUUUCAUCUAAAGCUAAAUAUUGGCGAGAGACCGAUAGCGAACAAGUACCGUGAGGGAAAGAUGAAAAGAACUUUGAAAAGAGAGUUAAACAGUACGUGAAAUUGUCAAAAGGGAAGCGUUUGACACCAGUGUUGUUUUCUCGAAAAUCAAUUAAAAAUGGCUCGAUUUGUAUUGCUGAGACCUUAAAAGCUCACUGUACAUUUUUCGUGUCUUUUUUAAUGCACUUUUCGUUUAACAAGUCAACAUCAGUUUCUUUUGUUGUAAAAGGGUCAUUGGAAGGUGGCUUUCUUUUCGGAGAAAGUGUUUAUAGCCUUUGGCCUCUGCAAUCGAGAGACUGAGGUCUGCAGCGUAGACUCUUCGGGGUUAGAUACAUUUGUGCUAAGUUAUAGCUUUUUAUAGACAACUUGUUGACUAUAAUUAGUCUUGUAGCUUACUCGCUUAUGCUAUUUUACCUACGCUUAGGAUG